CCUACGGGUGGCAGCAGUGAGGAAUAUUGGUCAAUGGACGCGAGUCUGAACCAGCCAAGCCGCGUGAAGGAUGACUGCCCUCGGGGUUGUAAACUUCUUUUAUAUGGGAAUAAAACAGGGGGUGCAUACCCUCUUGUAUGUACCUUACGAAUAAGGAUCGGCUAACUCCGUGCCAGCAGCCGCGGUAAUACGGAGGAUCCGAGCGUUAUCCGGAUUUAUUGGGUUUAAAGGGAGCGUAGGUGGAUUGUUAAGUCAGUUGUGAAAGUUUGGGGCUCAACCGUAAAAUUGCAGUUGAAACUGGCAGUCUUGAGUACAGUAGAGGUGGGCGGAAUUCGUGGUGUAGCGGUGAAAUGCGUAGAUAUCACGAAGAACUCCGAUUGCGAAGGCAGCUCACUGGACUACAACUGACGCUGAUGCUCGAAAGUGUGGGUAGCAAACAGGAUUAGAUACCCUAGUAGUC
rnacentral:rRNA from 1 species